AACGCUAGCGAUAGCUUACACAUGCAAGUCGAGGGGCAGCAUGGUCUUAGCUUGCUAAGACUGAUGGCGACCGGCGCACGGGUGCGUAACGCGUAUGCAACUUGCCUCACAGAGGGGGAUAACCCAUCGAAAGACGGACUAAUACCGCGUACACUCUAUGUUGGGCAUCCAAUGUAGAGGAAAUGAACUUCGCUGUGAGAUAGGCAUGCGUCCCAUUAGCUAGUUGGUGAGGUAACGGCUCACCAAGGCGACGAUGGGUAGGGGAACUGAGAGGUUGAACCCCCACACUGGUACUGAGACACGGACCAGACUCCUACGGGAGGCAGCAGUGAGGAAUAUUGGUCAAUGGGCGAGAGCCUGAACCAGCCAAGUCGCGUGAAGGAUGACUGUCUUAUGGAUUGUAAACUUCUUUUAUACGGGAAUAACAAGAGCCACGAGUGGCUCCCUGCAUGUACCGUAUGAAUAAGCAUCGGCUAACUCCGUGCCAGCAGCCGCGGUAAUACGGAGGAUGCGAGCGUUAUCCGGAUUUAUUGGGUUUAAAGGGUGCGUAGGCGGCCUGUUAAGUCAGCGGUGAAAUCUAGGAGCUUAACUCCUAAAUUGCCAUUGAUACUGGCGGGCUUGAGUGUAGAUGAGGUAGGCGGAAUGCGUGGUGUAGCGGUGGAAUGCAUAGAUAUCACGCAGAACUCCGAUUGCGAAGGCAGCUUACUAAGGUACAACUGACGCUGAAGCACGAAAGCGUGGGUAUCAAACAGGAUUAGAUACCCUGGUAGUCCACGCAGUAAACGAUGAUAACUGGGCGUAUGCGAUAUACAGUAUGCUCCUAAGCGAAAGCGUUAAGUUAUC
rnacentral:rRNA from 1 species